AUCUGUGCGGUGAUGAAGCUAUUGUGGACUAGAGUUUCUGAUCUGGGCAUUGCCCUGAAUCUGAAGACAAACCCUUGGCUGUCUGACCAAU